AUCAGAGUGGCGCAGCGGAAGCGUGGUGGGCCCAUAACCCAGAGGUCCGACCGUCCGAGGAUCGAAAACUGGCUCUGACA
rnacentral:tRNA from 1 species